UUUUAAAAGCAAAGUUCUUUAUCAUUUUCCCUAAUAAGUUCAAAAAAAUAACAAAAAUGAAGUUGAUUCAUAUCCUUGUUCUUCUAUGCUUCAUUCUCCUCUGUGCUACAUCCUCUGGGAGAAAUUUGGAGAGGAAAUGCACUGAUACAUUGAUAUAUGUGCCAAUAAAAAUGGAGAAUUGUGAGAUAGGGAAAUGUAUGGUCACUUGUGGAAAGACUUAUGAAGGCACUGUUUUUGGAGAGUGCCCAAAUCCUGAUACUUGCUUUUGUGGUAUUUAUAGAUGUAUUCUUGUUUAAUUUGUAUUAAUAAAAUAAAAAAAAUUCUCAAUCAAAAUAAGAAAUUAAUCUCAAUUUGACA